GGACUCCACUUGGCUGAUCAAACAGAGAGAAAGGAAUGAUACACAGGACAGUGCCAGAUGCUGCUCUGCCUCUGGUUCGACUUCUGGUUCAGUUUUGUAACUUUUUAACAGUCGCUGAUUGCGGGACGAUGCACUGCCAAAGAGUGGAAGUGGCGUCAUAUGGCAUGCCAUUCAGGAAAAACUGCUCAGAACGCAGACACGAGACAUGAUUAUGAGGUGCAAUAUACUCUGGCUUGUUUGCAGGACGUGAAUUGUUGCAAUUUAGCAACGACGCUUGUAAAAAAUAUCCAUGGAAAUUAAAAACGUUACGUACAUUCA